AGUUAUUUUUUGUUAUUUGUAAAAAUAAAUUAGUUUAAUUGCAGCUAAAAAAAUAGUUAAAGUUUUAACCUCAUAGAAUAUUUUUAUUGUGUUUAAACAAGUUCUAGUGGUGAGUAUUUUAUUUUUUAAGUAAUUAAGAUAAAGAAAAUUUUAUUUAAAAGGGGGAUAAGGCACAGUGCCAGCAUCUGCGGUUAUUCUGUCUCCUUUAUUUUUUUUAAUUUAAUUUAAAAAUAAAUUUUUAAUAAUCUGUUUAAAGUUUUAUUAGAUAUAAAUUUUUAUUUUUAUUGAUUUUGAAAAGAUGUAGUAAGAUAAAUUAGAUACUUAUUUAAUAUUUUUUAUACUUAAAGUUUAGUUAAACUAAAGUAAUUUGGCAGCUAAUUAAUCCUUAUGGGGGAAGGUGUUAUUUAAAAGAUGAUCCACUUAUAAAUUUACUUUUAUUAUUUAAUUAGUGUACAUCCGAUUUAAAAUUAGUAUUAAAAAAUAAUUACUAAUGUUGGAUUUUUUCAUAAGUCAGGUCUAUGUGCUAUUAAGAUAAAAGUUAUAGUUCCUUACUUUAAAAAUAUUUUUAUUGUAAUAUAUAAAUUUUAGGACUCAUUAGUAAAGUAAAAAUAAUUAGUUUACUUGAAGUAGGUUUAAUUGGGGUACACACCGCCCGUCAAUCUUGGUUAUUUGCUAAGAUAAGUCGUAACAUGGUAGUUUUUGGGGAACCAGAAACUAGUAAGCAAAAUGUGCUAAAA
rnacentral:ncRNA from 1 species